rnacentral:rRNA from 1 species
UUAAAUUGAAGAGUUUGAUCAUGGCUCAGAUUGAACGCUGGCGGCAGGCCUAACACAUGCAAGUCGAGCGGUAGCACAGAGAGCUUGCUCUCGGGUGACGAGCGGCGGACGGGUGAGUAAUGUCUGGGAAACUGCCUGAUGGAGGGGGAUAACUACUGGAAACGGUAGCUAAUACCGCAUAACGUCGCAAGACCAAAGUGGGGGACCUUCGGGCCUCAUGCCAUCAGAUGUGCCCAGAUGGGAUUAGCUAGUAGGUGGGGUAACGGCUCACCUAGGCGACGAUCCCUAGCUGGUCUGAGAGGAUGACCAGCCACACUGGAACUGAGACACGGUCCAGACUCCUACGGGAGGCAGCAGUGGGGAAUAUUGCACAAUGGGCGCAAGCCUGAUGCAGCCAUGCCGCGUGUGUGAAGAAGGCCUUCGGGUUGUAAAGCACUUUCAGCGGGGAGGAAGGCGGUGAGGUUAAUAACCUCACCGAUUGACGUUACCCGCAGAAGAAGCACCGGCUAACUCCGUGCCAGCAGCCGCGGUAAUACGGAGGGUGCAAGCGUUAAUCGGAAUUACUGGGCGUAAAGCGCACGCAGGCGGUCUGUCAAGUCGGAUGUGAAAUCCCCGGGCUCAACCUGGGAACUGCAUUCGAAACUGGCAGGCUAGAGUCUUGUAGAGGGGGGUAGAAUUCCAGGUGUAGCGGUGAAAUGCGUAGAGAUCUGGAGGAAUACCGGUGGCGAAGGCGGCCCCCUGGACAAAGACUGACGCUCAGGUGCGAAAGCGUGGGGAGCAAACAGGAUUAGAUACCCUGGUAGUCCACGCCGUAAACGAUGUCGAUUUGGAGGUUGUGCCCUUGAGGCGUGGCUUCCGGAGCUAACGCGUUAAAUCGACCGCCUGGGGAGUACGGCCGCAAGGUUAAAACUCAAAUGAAUUGACGGGGGCCCGCACAAGCGGUGGAGCAUGUGGUUUAAUUCGAUGCAACGCGAAGAACCUUACCUGGUCUUGACAUCCACAGAACUUUCCAGAGAUGGAUUGGUGCCUUCGGGAACUGUGAGACAGGUGCUGCAUGGCUGUCGUCAGCUCGUGUUGUGAAAUGUUGGGUUAAGUCCCGCAACGAGCGCAACCCUUAUCCUUUGUUGCCAGCGGUCCGGCCGGGAACUCAAAGGAGACUGCCAGUGAUAAACUGGAGGAAGGUGGGGAUGACGUCAAGUCAUCAUGGCCCUUACGACCAGGGCUACACACGUGCUACAAUGGCAUAUACAAAGAGAAGCGACCUCGCGAGAGCAAGCGGACCUCAUAAAGUAUGUCGUAGUCCGGAUUGGAGUCUGCAACUCGACUCCAUGAAGUCGGAAUCGCUAGUAAUCGUAGAUCAGAAUGCUACGGUGAAUACGUUCCCGGGCCUUGUACACACCGCCCGUCACACCAUGGGAGUGGGUUGCAAAAGAAGUAGGUAGCUUAACCUUCGGGAGGGCGCUUACCACUUUGUGAUUCAUGACUGGGGUGAAGUCGUAACAAGGUAACCG